rnacentral:rRNA from 1 species
UGGGGAAUAUUGGACAAUGGGCGAAAGCCUGAUCCAGCCAUGCCGCGUGUGUGAAGAAGGUCUUCGGAUAGUAAAGCACUUUAAGUUGGGAGGAAGGGCAGUAAGCGAAUACCUUGCUGUUUUGACGUUACCGACAGAAUAAGCACCGGCUAACUCUGUGCCAGCAGCCGCGGCAAUACAGAGGGUGCAAGCGUUAAGCGGAAUUACUGGGCGUAAAGCGCGGGUAGGUGGUUCGUUAAGUUGAAUGUGAAAGCCCCGGGCUCAACCGGGGAACGGCAUCCAAAACUGGCGGGCUGGAGUAGAGCAGAGGGUGGUGGAAUUUCCUGUGUAGCGGUGAAAUGCGUAGAUAUAGGAAGGAACACCAGUGGCGAAGGCGACCACCUGGGCUCAUACUGACACUGAGGUGCGAAAGCGUGGGGAGCAAACAGG